AUUUCCACUUUGGAGGAGUCUUGAAAUCCUAUAAACAGAAAUAUAAGCACCAUAAUUUUCUAAAUGUUAAGAGGCCAGAUCCUGUCAGAUGGUCAACUGAUAUUUUGCAGGCAAAAAGAAGGCACACUCAAGAAUAGGUCCAUCCUCUUGGGCUCCUGGGAGACAGUUGGGAAAUUGCUGUCUCUAUCAUGUGACGAUUAUAAGCUCUCUGAAAAUGGAGAUCUGCACGAAGGUGGGAAUGAGCAAGCGAAGGUCCUAAAACCCAGAAAGGCCUGGCCUGACUGUGAAAGGGUCGUGCUGGUAACGCAGGGAGCACCCUUUGGUUCCUGGUGAAUGAAUGAAUGAUGUAGGAUGAGGAGAAAACAGAAACAAGCUCUUCUACCCACUUCCAUUUCCAGCACGAGCUACUAUAGAUAACAAAUCACAGCUUUGACUGUUCCUGAAUUCCAGAAAUACAUCAUCAAAGGAGUGCACAUGGACAUCGAGAACCCCGACUCUGCAUUUUAUUAUAAUUUUUGUGAAUAUUAGUCAUAAAUUUACCAGUCAGUUUGAUUCAACCCUCAAAUUGAUUAAAUAACUAUGAAGCAUACAUAAUCACAUAAAACCAAGAUCAUCAAUAGCUAGAAUUUAUCCCAAUAGAUGAGGAACAAAUUUCUAAGAAGAUUCAAAGUCUGGAUGCUACGUCACUAUGGUGACAAGACAGUACUGCAAUCAAAUGUGAUAGAAGCUCUCACACUGACCAAGCUACUCGAUCUUCUAAGGCAAAACCCCAGUAAAUUAUUAUUUAUAGGCAUUCCCAUCAUAAUUAUUCUUUUAACUUUUAAAAUUAAAUUACGUUAUUACCUUAUAGCUUUGAAGACACAUACAUGUUGCCACUAGUAUCUAUUAUGGUCAUCGCUUCAUUAGAAAGUGACCCAGUCAACAUUUGGUUCUAACCUAUUUAACUGCCUCAUCUAUUUAGUUGCCCCAUUAGGGGCUUUUAGUCCAUUACAAGAAUUAUUUAAACUAUCACUGAUUUUGGCUCAAGGAGGAACAAAAUAAGAAAUAUAAUUUAUUGUUUUGAUAGAUUCAAAAGAGUUUUGAUGUUCUAACAGGCUCAAGUUAAGACAGCAGCCAUGAGCUAAAGAAAUAAGCCAUUCAGACAUAAACAGAAGAAUAUGAGUAAUUAUCUCUGUACCUCCUAUUCUCUCAGCCUCUUGCCCUUCCCCUUGGUUGGAUAACUCUUCCUUACCCAUCAAGACUCAGGUUAAAGGCGCUUCGUCCUGAAUUAGGUCCCCUUGCUUUGUGCUCCCUCUACUCUCCCUGUCAUAACACUCAUCAUGCUUGGUUGUAAUUACAUUUUUAAUGUCCAAUCUUGCCGCUAGAUUGUAAGAUCCCUGAGGACAGGGUUCAUGCUUGUCUUUUUACCACUCUGUACCUAACACCCAGCACAGUGCCUGACCCACAGGAGGUGUGCAAUACAUGUUUGCUAAAUUGAAAUGAAAUUGAAGUUUAUUUGAUCACUACCAAUGAUUUGUAGUUGGACCGUAGUGAAACCUGUUAGUUUUACCUCCUACUAUGUGUAGGAAAUUCAUACCUAUAGGCAAAGAAUCACCUACAAAGACUUUCAGAACAGCAUUAUAAUAGAUAAGAAUAGGAGAAUGGAUAAAUAAAUUAUUCUAGGUAUAGUCA
rnacentral:lncRNA from 1 species